UACGGGGGGAGCAAGCGUUGUUCGGAAUUACUGGGCGUAAAGGGCGCGUAGGCGGUCUGCUAAGUUGGAUGUGAAAACUCUGGGCUUAACCCAGAGCCUGCAUUCAAAACUGACAGGCUGGAGUUCUGGAGGGGAUAGCGGAAUUCCUGGUGUAGCGGUGAAAUGCGUAGAUAUCGUGAGGAAGGCCGGUGGCGAAGGCGAGUCUCUGGACAGUUGCUGACGCUGAGGCACGAAGGCCAGGGGAGCAAACGGG
rnacentral:rRNA from 1 species